rnacentral:lncRNA from 1 species
GCAGUUGUUUGGGCUGUCGCUGUGGCUGGUUCUGCGGUGUGCGGCCAGCCAUGGAGCGCUCUGGGCCCAGCGAAGUGACAGGCUCAGACGCAUCGGGACCGGACCCGCAGCUUGUGGUCACCAUGGGCUUCACGGGGUUCGGGGUUCGGUAAAAAAGCUCACACAUUUGACUUGGAAGCAAUGUUUGAACAAACUCAAAGAACAGCUGUGGAAAGAAGUCACAAAACACUGGGUAAGAAGUUCAGAUAUUUGUCGUUUUAUUGGUUUAAGUACUAUUUAUACCUCAUGCAAGUAUAUUAAAAAAGAGAAAAGAAUGUUGGCUGGGCGCCGUGGCUCACGCCUGUAAUCCCAGCACUUAGGGAGGCCAAGGCAGGCAGAUCACCUGAGGUCAGAAGUUUGAGACCAGCCUGACCAACAUGGUGAAACCCCAUCUCAACUAAAAAUACAAUAAUUAGCUGGGCAUGGUGCAGGGGCCUGUAAUCCCAGCUAGUCGUGCGGCUGAGGCAGUAGCUUCAGUUGAAGUUGGGAGGCGGAGGUUGCAGUGAGCUGAUAUCCCCCCAUUGCACUCCAGCCUGGGGGACAAGGGUGAAAUUCCAUCUCAGAGAACAAAGAAAAAAAAGAAUGUUGUUAUGCUACUUGUCACUGUUGGGUUUUUUUUUUUUUUGAGAUGGAGUCUCGCCCUGUUGCCCAGGCUGGAGUGCAAUGGCAUGAUCUCGGCUCACUGCAGCCUCCACCUCCCCAGUUCAAGCGAUUCUCCUGCCUUGGCCUCCCAAAGUGCUGGGAUUACAGACGUGAACCACCGUGUCCGGCUUUUUGGUUUUUGGUUUUUUUUUUUUUUGAGAUGGAGUCUCGCUUUAUUGCUGGGCUGGAGUGCAGGGGUGCGAUCUUAGCUCACUGCAACUUCUACCUCCCCGGUUCAAGCAAUUUUCCUGCCUCAGCCCUCCAAGUAGCUGGGACGACAGGUGUACGCCACCACGCCCAGCUAAUUUUUGUAUUGUUAGUAGAGAUGGGGUUUCACCAUGUUGGCCAAGAUGGUCUUGAUCUCUUGAUCUUGUGAUCUGCCUGCCUCCUAAAGUGCUGGGAUUACAGGUGUGAGCCACCGCACCCAGCCCAAUUUAUCAUUUUAAAACCAACAAUGGGCCAGUUGUAGUGGCUCAUGCCUGUAAUCCCAGCAUUUUGGGAGGCUGAGGUGGGUGAAUCACCUAAGGUCAGGAGUUCGAGACCAGCCUGGCCAACAUGGUGAAACCCCGUCUUGACUGAAAAUAGAAAAACUAUCCGGGUGUGAUGGUGGGCACCUGUAAUCCCAGCUACUAGGGAGGCUGAGGCAGGAGAAUCGCUUGAACCUGGGAGGCAGAGGUUGUGGUGAGCUGAGAUCGCACCAUUACACUCCAGCCUGGGUGACAAGAGCAAAACUCCAUCUCAAAAUAAAUAAAAUAAAAUAAAAUGAAAUGGGCGACAAGAGCAAAACUCCAUCUUAAAAUAAAAUAAGAUAAAAUAAAAUAUAAAGUAUAAAACAAAAUAACUAAAAUAAAAAAUAAAAUGUUGUACAGCAGCAAUAUCCAGUAUUUGGCAGUGUGCCUGACAAAAAAUAUUUUCAGUCUUUGGAAGAAAACUUUUUUGUGGAGAAAAGAAAGCCAUCUACAUGUACUAUUUUUUGAAAAAACCCUUCAUUAUUUGUUUUAUUUGAGACGGAGGCCUGCUCUGUCGCCCAGGCUGGAGUGCAAUGGUGCGAUCUCAGCUCACUGUGACCUCCACCUCUUGGGUUCAAGUGAUUCUCUUGCCUCAGCCUCCUGAGUAGCUGGGAUUACAGGUGACCACCACCAUGCCUGGCUAAAUUUUUUGUAUUUUUAGUGGAGACAGGGUUUCGCCAUGUUGGCCAGGCUGGUCUCGAACGUGUGACCUCAGGUGAUCCGCCUGCCUCGGCCUCCCAAAGUGCUGGGAUUACAGGUGUGAACAACCAUGCCAGGCCAAAACCCAUCAUUAUUAUUAUUGUUAUUAUUGUUAUUUUUUUGAGAUGGCGUCUCACUCUGUCGCCCUGGCUGGAGUGCAGUGGUGUGAUCUUGGCUCACUGCAAGCUCCGCCUCCCGGGUUCACGCCAUUCUCCCGCCUCAGCCUCUGGAGUAGCUGGGACUACAGGUGCCUGCCAACACGCCUGGCUAAUUUUGUUUUUGUAUUUUUAGUAGAGAUGGUGUUUCACCAUGUUAGCCAGGAUGGUCUCGAUCUCCUGACCUCGUGAUCCACUCACCUUGGCCUCCCAAAAUGCUGGGAUUACAGGUGUGAGCCACUGCACCCAGCAAAACCCUUCAUUAUUAUGUGAAAUUUCAAACACGGAAGUAUAGUCACGAACUACCAUGUACCUAUCAAUCAGAUUUAACUACUGUAACAGUUCAUGGCUAGCGUUACUUCUGUUUCCCCUUUCAGAUGAUUUCGAAGCAAAUCUUGGACAUCAUUUUACUCAUAAAUAUUUUUGUAUAUACCUUAAAACGAUAAGGAUUGUUUUAAAAAAAGCUUAGCCAAGAUAUGUGUAAGAGAUAGGAAAAACCAAGUUGUUUCCUAUCCUCUCACACUCCUCUCAGUACUUUCCCCUCCUUUUUUUUUUUUUUUUUUUUUUAAAUUUGAGACAGGGUCUCACUGCUGUUGCUUAGACAGGUGCGCAGUGGCAUGACCUUGCCUCACUACAGACUCCACUUCCCGGGCUCAGGUAAUCCUCCCACCUCAGCCUCCCAAAUAGUUGGGACUAUAGGUUGGUGCUACCACACCCCACUAAUUUUUUGUAUUUUUAGUUGAGAUAGAUUUCACCAUGUUGGCUGGGUGAGGUGGCUCAUGCCUGUAAUCCCAGCACUUUGGGAGGGGCGGAUCACGAGGUCAGGAGAUUGAGACCAUCCUGGCUAACAUGGUGAAACCCCGUCUCUACUAAAAAUACAAAAAAUUAGCUGGGUGUGGUGGCGGGUGCCUAUAGUUCCAGCUACUUGGGAGGCUGAGGCGGGAGAAUGGCGUGAACCCCAGAGGCAGAGCUUGCAGUGAGCCGAGAUCUUGCCACUGCACUCUAGCCUGGGCGACAGAGUGAGACUCUUGUCUCAAAAAAAAAAAAAAAAAUUCACCAUGUUGUCCAGGCCAGUCUUGAAUUCCUGGGCUCAAGUGAUCCACCUGUCUUGGCCUCCCAAAGUGCUAGGAUUACAGGUGUGAACCAGUACUUUAUUUCUGACACCAGAUAUGUAGGAGUUUUCCCCCACACAUCAACCAGUUCUCCAACUGGGUAUCCGGUAACUCACUUUAAUUCUGACACCGUCUGCCUGGAGACUACCACAAGACUGCCUUCACUCAGACACUAAUCUCAAUUCACAGGUUGUGACCAGUGCUUCUAAUCUACUGGCUAUAAGUCAGGGUUCCCAUGACCACUCUUUUUGCUUUGAUAAUUAGCUAGGACGGCUCACAGGGAAACACUUUACUUAUGUUUAACAGUUUAUUAUAAAGAAUAUUAUAAAUGAUACAGAUGAACAGCCAGAUGAAGUAAUGCAUUGGGCAAGGUAUGCGGUGGGAGAGGUGCAGAGCUUCUGUGCCCUCUCUGGGUGCACCAACUCCCCAGCAUCCCCCUGUGUUCAACUACCCUGAAGCUAAUCACAUCUAGUGGUUCAGGAGUGUCUAGGCUGGGUGCAGUGGCUCACACCUAUAAUCCCAGCACUUUGGGGGACCAAGGUAGGAGGAUCACUUGAUCCCAGGAGUUUGAGACAAACCUGGGCUAACACAGUGAGAUCCCGUUCAAAAAAUCUUAUAAAAAUUAGCUGGGCAUGGCGGCGCACACCUGUAGUCCCAACUACUUGGGAGGCUGAGGUGAGAGGGUCACUUGAGCCCAGAGGUUGAGGCUGCAGUGAGCUAUGAUCAUGCCACUGCAUCACAGCCUGAGUAAAAAAGCAAGAGCCUGUCUCAAAAAAAAAAAAAAAAAAAAAAUUUCUAUAGAUCUUAAUUUCCAGCUUCCCCAGAGAUUGGUGGGUGGGGAUGAAAGUUCCAAUUAUCUAACCCGUCAGUUUUUUUAGUGAGCAGCAGUCCCAUCCUGAGGCCUAGGGAUCCCACACUAAGUCACUUCAAUAGCAUAAAUUUAGGUGGGAUCCAAAGGGGCUUCUAAUGAAUAACAAAAGACAGCUCCUAUCACUCAGGAAAUUCCAAGGGUUUCAGAAGCUGUGUGGCAGGAACCUGAAACAAAGACCAAAUAUAUAUAUAUAUUUUUGAGACAGAGUCUCGCUCUGUCGCCCAGACUGGAGUGCAGUGGUGUGAUCUCGACUCACUGCAAGCUCCGCCUCCCGGGUGCACGCCAUUCUCCUGUCUCAGCCUCCUGAGUAGCUGGGACUAUAGGCACCGGGCACCAUGCCUGGCUAAUUUUUUUUUUUUUUUUUUGUAUUUUUAGUAGAGACAGGGUUUCACCCUGUUAGCCAGGAUGGUCUCGAUCUCCUGCCCUCAUGAUCCGCCCCCCUCAGCCUCCCAAAGUGCUGGGAUUACAGGAGUGAGCCACCGCACCUGGCCAAAUAUAUUUCAUAUUAUGCCACAAUAUCAUCACAUCAAAAAACAAUUUUAAUAUCCUCAAACGAUAGACAAAGACAUGCUAUCUGAGGCAUUUACAAAUGUUUUAAACAAUUUAGUGAAUGUUUGUACUAUCACAGUAUAGGUACCUUGUAUUUGCCAUUUUAAGCAUAUAAUACAACAUGUUUUGAACAAGGAUUGUCUUAUUUGGCUAUGUCGGCUUUUUGUUGUUAUUUACUUAUUUAUUUUUUUGAGUUGCCCAGACUGGAGGGCAAUAGUGUAAUCUAGGCUCACUGCAACCUCUGCCUCCUGGUUCAAGCAAUUUUCCUGCCUCAGCCUCCCCAGUAGCUGGGAUUAUAGGCACGUGCCACCACCACCUGACUAACUUUUGUAUUUUUAGUAGAGACAGGGUUUCACCAUGUUGGCCAGGCUGAUCUCAAACUCUUGAAGUCAAGUGAUCCGCCUGCCUCAACCUCCCAAAGUGAAGCUUUUUAUUUUUAAUUUUUUUAUUUUCAAUUUUUGUGGGUACAUAGUAGAUGUAUAUAUUUGUGGGUAUGUAAGUUUUAUAGCCCCUGGUACUUUGCUUUGUAAAAUAGGUUCUCAGUAAUAUUUUGAGAAUAUUAAAUUGAAUUUAGACCUGUAAUACUGUCUUGUUAAAAAAUGAAAUCUUGCUGCUUUGGAGAAUGUUUUAAAAUGGCACAAUCUGGGCUGGGCACGGUGGCUCACGCCUGUAAUCCCAGCACUUUGGGAGCCUGAGGUGGGUGGGUCACCUGAGAUCAGGAGUUUGAGAUCAGCCUGGCCAACGUGAUGAAACCCUGUCUCUACUAAAGAUACAAAAAUUAACCGGGUGUGGGUGGCGGGCACCUGUAGUCCCAGUUACUCGGGAGGCUGAGGCAGGAGAAUCGCUUGAACCUGGGAGGCGGAGGUUGCAGUGAGCCUAGAUUGUGCCAUUGCACUCCAGCCUGGGCGACGAGAGCAAAACUCUGUCUAAAAAAAAAAAAAAUGGGCACAAUCUGUUGGAAAGAGCUUGGGAUUUGGAAUUGGGGGACCUAGGUUUAAGGCCCAGCCCCACAGUCUACUAGAUGAGUAACAUUGGAUGGGUUUUCCAAUUUCUGAUCCUUCAUAACCCUGUUGUGUGUGUAUCAUCUACCUUGGACGUUUCUUGAAGAGAUUAAGAUGUUGGGUGUAGUAGCUUAUAAACAGCAAAGUACUUUAUAAAUAUUAUUUUAAAUUCUUGUAAUUUUUCUUAGUAAAGCAUGUAUACAUUUUACCUAAGAGGAACUUGGGGAGUUAUUAAAUUUUUAAAUUUUUGAAAAAUUGUCUCAAGACUAUGAUCUCCUUUGAUUUUUGUGGACAAAUUAUUGAACUUUCUUGAUUUACUAUUACAUCUUUGGACUGCAGUUUCUACCUCUGAUCUAAACACAUGAAUCUAAAUUGAUUAUCUCUUUGAAAAAUCUACUUAGCUUUAGCACGUAAAUAGAAAAUACCAUUGGGAUAAUUUAUGGAAGUAGUAUUCAUCAUUAUAUGGGAAGUUACUCAUAAGAGAUUUUUUUUUUUUUUUUUUUAGUGUUCUUCCAGACUUGGCAAUUAGAUUACAUUUAGACCGUCGAAUUAAAAGUGAUUCCCUGUGAGCUGUCCUAGCAAAUUAUGAAAUUGAAGAGAGGGGUUGCGGGAACCCUAGUUUCCUACCAUGAGACAGUUUGACUUACUUUUCUUUAAAAGUUGAAAAUUCUCAUAUGGGCAUUAUUUAUCUCAUGCUUGGUAUUGGAGUCUUUCCCUGGGUAUUCAUAGUACACUUGAGGAAACUAAGACUUUGACCCUUUUAAUAGCAAGUUUGUCUGUAUGUGGGGGUAUGAGCUGUCUUGGUUGCUAAGUGCACUAGUGGAAAGGAUGAAUUACUAUAAAACCCCGAUAAAAUAUGUGCUGUGAAGGGUCUGGAAAUGAUAAUGGUACAAAUUUUUUUUAAAUGUUUUUUAUGUUCUUGAAAGCUGUAAGUGUGUGUAGGACAUAUGAAAUACAGAUUUUUUUUCUUUUUCUUGAGACAGAGUCUCUCUCUGUCGCCCAGGCUAGAGUGCAGUGGGACGAUCUCAGCUUAUUGCAACCUCCGCCUCCCAGGUUUGAGGAAUUCUUCCUCAGCCCCCUGAGUAGCUGGGAUUACAGGCGUGCACCACCAUGCCUGGCUAAUUUUUUGUAUUUCUAGUAGAGACGGGGUUUCACCAUGCUGGCCAGGCUGGUCUCGAACUCCUGACCUCGUGAUCUGCCUGCCGCAGCCUCCCAAAGUGUUGGGAUUACAGGCGUGAGCCACCGCGCCCAGCUGAAAUACAGACUUUUUUUUUUUUUUUUUUUAGAAGUGUUAUACUAGGCUGGGGACAGUGGCUCAUGUCUGUAAUCCUAGUACACUUUGUGAGGCUGAGGCAGGUGGAUUGCUUGAGGCCAGGAGUUGGAGACCAGCCUGGCCAACAUGGUGAAACCCCAUCUCUACUAAAAAUACAAAAAUUAGGUGGGCAUGGUGACUGGCGUCUAUAAUCCCAGCUGCUCGGGAGGCUUAGGCAGGAGAAUUGCUUGAACCUAGGAGGUGGAGGUUGCAGUGAGCUGAGAUUGUGCCACUGCACUGACACCUGGCGACAGAGUGAGACUCCGUCUCAAAACAAAAACAAAAACUAAGGGAAAAAGAGGGAGGACUGGCAUGGUGUGGUGGCUCACAUUUGUAAAUCUUGAGGCAGGAGGAUUGCUUGAGCCCAGGAGUUCAAGACCAGCCUGGGCAACAUAGUGAGACCCCGUCUCUAUUAAAAAAAAUAAUAGUAAAAAAGAGGGAAAUGGCAGCUGAGUAGGCAGCCUCAAUAUCUUUUCCUGAUUAGUAAUAUAAUUGACUGUAAGACCUGAGGGAGAAGAUGAGCCUAGAGUACAAAUGCUGCUGCCACCCCCUGAGGUCUGGAGGGAUUGGCUGAAAAAACAGGGUGAACUAGGAGCUAAGCAGGCCCAUUCUUUUUUUUUUUUUUUUUCUUUUCAUGGAGAUGGAGUCUCACUCUGUGGCCCAGGCUGUAGUGUGGUGGUACUAUCUCAGUUUACUGCAACCUCCGCCUUCUGGGUUCCAGCGAUUCUCCUGCCUCAGUGUCCCGAGUAGCUGGGACUACAGGUGCACACCGCCAUGCCUGGCUAAUUUUUUGUAUUUUAGUAGAGACGGGGUUUCACCAUAUUGCCCAGGCUGGUCUCAAACUCCUGAGCUCAUGCAAGCCACAUGCCUUGGCCUCUCAAAGUGCAAGGAUUACAGGUGUGAACCAUCACGCCUGGCUUCAGGCCCAUUCUUUUUUUUUUUUUUUUUUUUUGAGACGGAGUCUUGCUCUGUUGCCCAGGCUGGAGUGCAGUGGCGCCAUCUCCACUCACUGCAAGCUCUGCCUCCCGGGUUCAUGCCAUUCUCCUGCCUCAGCCUCCAGAGUAAGCUGGGACUACAGGCACCCGCCACCACGCCCGGCUAAUUUGUGCAUUUUUAGUAGAGACGGGGUUUCACCAUGUUGCCCAGGCUGGCCUCGAACUCCUGACCUCGUGAUCCACCUGCCUCGGCCUCCCAAAGUGCUGGAAUUACAGGCAUAAGCCACCAUGCCUGGCCUUGAAACCAUCUUUCAAAAUGUGGUCUUUUUGCAGUACAGCUGGGAUGUCUCUGUCUUUCCCACCAUGCACCUUUGUAAAGGGGCGGCUUCUGUCUCGCUGGUGUAACAGAUUUCUUCCCUGUGUCCCCUUUCUCUUCUGUCAAUGAAUCAUGGGUGGCUGUCGGCUGGGGACCACUCUCAGUGUCUCAUACACUGAAUGCAACAUGGACACAAACUUAUGAUAGGGCCAGGUGGGGGACAGCAAGAGGUGAGCACCGGAAAUUGCAUGAGCUAGGAGUCACUGGCUGGUGGUGGGUGAGGGACACGUGGUAGGGACAGUUUAGCAGCUGGAUCAGGGUGGAAAUCCAAAUCCUGACAGCUGAGAAGUGGCACAGACCUGCUUCUGUGAGGACAAGUGUCCCCUGGCCCUGGCCAACUGGCCUCCAGGGGGUAUUGUUGGAAUAUGCGGUCAUCCCAAAGCACUUCAGCUUGAAGAAGAUCUAGGACACAGUUUGUUGUUACCACCUCAGAGCAUUUAGAUGGGACGUGAUGGAUGGAAUUGAAGUUGAAAACCCAUUCACCAUUUCUAGUUAGUACAGUAGGCUCCUAAUUUACAGAAAUGCUUGUGAAAUUGAGAAUCAUGAUAAAAUCCUCAUACCUCCUCCUCUUUUGACCAAAUCUUUCUAAAAUGCACAAUUAUAAUUUCUUAUCUUUAGGAAAAAGUAAUUAUGUUAUAUGUGUUAUAUACACUAUGUAAAUAUAGUUCAUUAAAUCAUUCUUUGGUGUUUGAAGACUUUCUAAUUCAUUACUUCAUUCCAGACAUCAAUGACAACAGCACAUACCGAGCAGGUACACAUAUGAGCUACCUACUAAUAUGCCCUGAUUUUGAUUGUAUUUUGUGAAAACCUUGGUAUGGGUUAUUUUUAAAUGAAUGUUUUCCCAAAUUUUAAGCUGAAACUAGGAUGCAUCAAAAUUAUCUUGGUCAUAAUCUUGUCAAUGAUGUCAUCUAAAGGCCACCAGGAACACACCUGUAGCCCAGCAAAGUUGAGGCCAUCGACUGGCUCAUCACAACAAGGAAGGCUGUGCACCACUGGGACCCAGCAGCAGCUCAGCAGCAGCAGUGAGAGGGCCUUGGGAAAGACUUGGAGGGUUUGGCUUAUACAAGGUGAUCUUGGGGAGGGUCAAGGAAACAGGCUGUGAUGGUUAAUAUUGAGUGUCAACUUGAUUGGAUUGAAGGAUGCAAAGGAUUGUUCCUGGGUGUAUAUGUGAGAGUGUGGCCAAAGGAGAUUAACAUUUUAGUCAGUGGACUGGGAGAGGCACACCCACCCUCAAUCUGGGUGGGCAUCAUCUAAUCAGCUGCCACAGCAGCUAAAAUAAAGCAGGCAGAAGUUGGAAUGAGCAGACUUGCUGAGUGUUCCAGCCUUCAUCUUUCUCCCAUGCUGGAUGCUUCCUGCCCUCGAACAUCAGACUCCAAGUUCUUCAGCUUUUUUUUUUUUUUUUGGACUCUUGGACUUACAGCAUUGGUUUGCCAGGGGCUCCCAGGCCUCUAGCCGCAGACUGAAGGCUGCACUGUGAGCCUCCCUACCUUUGAAGUUUGGGACUCAGACUGGCUUCUUGGCUCCUCAGCUUGCAGUCGGCCUAUUGUGAGACUUCCCCUUGUGAUCAUGUGAGCCAAUUCUCCUGAUAAACUCACCUUCAUAUAUACAUCUAUCCUAUUAGUUCUAUCCGUUUAGAGAACCCUGACUAAUACACAGGCCAUGCUCAGAUGGAGUGCUGUCUGGAAAUGGGAGUAAUUCUGUGGUUGAAUGUCUUAAUUGUCCUGGAAGGUGGGAGAAAUGGAAUGAGGCUGGUGCUACAAUUGAUGUAAAAGCAGCAGCUGCUCACAUAAGCCGGGGUGGAGGAUGCCUAGGCGUAUUUGUGGUAUUGACCAUGUUCUUGUUUUUGUUUGUGACCAGACCAGAUUACAGAGGGGUAUUGAUUUGCCUUGCCCCCGCCCCCACCAUCACAGUGUGUCCCUGUCCAGUGUUGGUGCUGUGUGGCAUUGCUUGUGUCCAUAGGAGUCCAUCAAGGCAGAGCGGCAGAGCGGCAAGCAGAGCGGCAAGGCAGGUCAGCUUCCGGCUCUUCCAGGCUGCAUGUCCCCCUCAAUAUCCUUUCAACCCAAUGGAAAUGGAUUGAAAGAGUGAAAGUCACUGGUCUCAAAGAAUCUACGGAAUUUAGCAUUUUGAAAAUCACAGAGCAAUUUUGGGUAGGUAUUCACAUGCACUAAAAAACCAGGCAAACAUCUGACUCCCAGGAUAAAGUGACUGAGAGCAGUAGAAGACUUGUUGAGCCUUAAGGAAUAAGAGGAAAAUUAUGUUAUGAAGUGCAGGAACAGCACAGACCCAGACGAGGGGAUGCAGCCCGGAGCCAGUAACCCGGCGCCUCCUCCUCCCCAGGGCGCAGCGCUGGCUGCUCCCCGGAUACCGUGAUCACACGUCCCAGGUCCUGAGAGCGCCUCAUAGGUAGACAGUUCUUUGGGACUUUUGGGACGCAGCACUUGAAGAGAGGUUUACCUAAACUUUCCUCCUGGGAGCCUGUCAUCAUUUGAAAGUAACAGAAGAAAGCUGUCAGGCUGAGGAAAGUUUCAACAGGCACUUGGUGAGAAUGGGAAGCAUCCAUUCAUUGGGAAAUCACGGGGACAGAGGAGGAAUUCACGGGAUCAGAGCACUGAGAAACUCCAGAGGCUUCUGGUUCACCGCCCUGAUUCCACAGAUGUGGGUCAGAGGCAGAGAUGGAAGUUGGAAUGGACAAGCCUGCCCUCUCCUCAGCUCUCCAUGGCUCUGUCCUCAGGCUGUUUCUGCAAUUUGACAUGAGGCCUGGCCCCAGGGAAACCAGUGGGGCCUCAUCUCCUCCCUGUGCUGCUCUGAGGUGGAGCCUUCUCAGGGUCAGUCCAGCUCUGGAGCCCCUCUCCAGCUCGGUCACCAAAGCUGUCUGGUCCCAGGGCAGUGUGGAGUGACAGGCACGCCAGCCAAUCCAAUCGGCCAUUUCAUACCCAAUGCAUGUGACUGAUAAAGAGAUAACACCCUGUCUCCAAGACACAGGCUUUACAUAAACAGCUUUAAUGACUUCUUCACUUAGGGACAAGACUCCUUAGUGGUGGAACCUCAGGCAUCCAUGCAGGAUGUAAGAAAGCUCCCGUAUAUACAUGAACUGAGAAGUGUGUAGAAGAGUAAAUACUGUAAUAGGUAAUAAAAUGUAUGUAUUUUUAUUUAUGUGCUACUUUGUCUUUCUCCCUCUCUGUGUAUAUACACAUACAUACAAAAAUGUAUUCAUUCUAUGGAAAACAUGAAAGAUGUAAUAUUCUUUACAUAUUUAAUUAAUGUAUUUUUUCUGAUCAUAUGAACACCACAAAUAUAAUUUUAUAAUUUUUUUACCUAACAAUAAGUCUUAAACAUAAAUAUACAUGGACAAUAUCAUAGUUUUUUUUUUAAUCAUAAUUAAAAUGGUUGUGAAACAUUCCACUUUAAUUCAUUCCUCCUAAUCCCUAGGGUGGUACAUUAAGUGAGGGUUUCUCAGCCUCGGUACCAUGGGCAGUUUGGGUUAGCCCAUCCUUUUCAGAGACACUGCCCUGGACACUGCAGGAUGUGGCUUCACAUUCUGGUCUCUGCCCACUGGAUGCCAGAAACAUCCCUUCCCCUUAGCUGUGGUAAUCAACACUGUCACUAGACAUUGCCAAAUGUCCCCUGGAGGACAAAAUCACCCUAGGUUGAGAACCAGUGGCAUUUUUUUUAAACUAUCAUUGUAAGACAAAGCCACCUGAACUUCCUUGCUGAUGUCUCUUCACUUCUUUUUUUUUUUUUUUUUUGAGACAGAGUCUUGCUCUGUUGCCCAGGCUGGAGUGCAGUGGCAUGAUCUCGGCUCACUGCAAGCUCCGCCUCCCAGGUUCACACCAUUCUCCUGCCUCAGCCUCCUGAGUAGCUGGGAUUACAGGCGCCCGCCACCACACCUGGCUAAUUUUUUUGUGUUUUUAGUAGAGACGGGGUUUCACCAUGUUAGCCAGGAUAGGCUCGAUCUCCUGACCUCAUGAUCCGCCCACCUUGGCCUCCCAAAGUGCUGGGAUUACAGGCAUGAGCCACCACGCCUGGCCUCAACUUCUAUCUAAUUCUAUUCAGAGGGAAAAUUUCUAGAAGCGACAUUCCUGUUGCAGAGAAGAGAUAUUCACUUGAGAACCUUGAUAUAUAUUUGCCAAAUUUCUGUCCAAGUAUCAUUUUUAAAAAGUUAAAAACAUGACUUUCAUAGAAACACAUACGGAGCAUAUGUCAAAGAUGUAUUUCUCUAAUGCAAUGAGACAGCCAGCAAGACAGUGAGGCUGCAGCAGCAUGGGGACAGAGUGCAGAAAGAGGUCGCAGAAGCCUUGGAAGAACGUCAUUCAGUCAUACAAGGACACCCUGAUGCUUGCGCUGCGGUCCUUUCCAAGUCCACGGGGCGUUGUUCCUUUGUGUCAACACCAGAUAAGACUCAUGGGGAUUGCUGUCAGUGUUGUGUAUGUUAUAAUACCAGGGACCCUCACAUGGCUGUGUUAGAUUCUAACCAAUAGAAAAUAAUAAGUCAAAGCAAAGACCGUUACUGAUUCCUUCCAUUGUUUCUUUAGAGACUUUGGUUUAGUGCUCUAAACUUUCUGAUUAUCAGAUCUUAUGUGUUUGCUAAUAUAUAAAAUAACAAAUUAGGCAUAAUGCCCUAUAAUUUUCUGCUUGAUUAAUUGCCUGAAAUUUGAUCUAUCAGUCAGUGUUUGAUUAGAAUAGAGAAAUCACAUGUAAUUUGAACAAGGAAAGAUUAAUACGAAGAAUUGCUAGCUAUAACAGGGUUUGGAGCAAUGAGGAUUGGCUAGUAAAAAGUAAAGAGAACUCUAAGGAAUAUAAGAAUAACAGAUAAAAGGAGCGUCAACCCCUGGGGUUGAGAUACAACAUCCAGGGCCUCUGGGAUUCAGAUCCAGACCCUGUUUGAGGGGGCAUGGCUGUGGCUCACUGAAUGAAGAGAAGUUGCUGUGGUAGAAAUCUGUCUCAUCAGAAUCACUCUGCUGUAAUACUGCCUUGUGGAGGUACUGGUGGAAGAUACUCGGUGCUGCUGACUGCUAUGCACUUCAGGAGCCUGACAAUGGAGCAAACUGCACGGGUUCUGGAUCUGGACACUGGAGAAGCUGUGUUGCAGUACAGAAGCCUGCCAAGAGGAGCACACAAGACUCUUGGAAAGAAGAGGAAAAUCUCCUCUUACAAUGUCGAUCUAAGAUCAUGCCAACUAGCAAAGGAAAAAUGUUUAAAGGGUCCAAGUUCAUUUCUGCAGAGCAGACAUGAAAGGUUGAAUUCAGAGCUGAGAGACAAUAAGUGGACAACUGGCACAUUUGGUCAAACUUGUAAUUUUAUAUCUUAGAUGGACAAAUUAAACACAAGUCCAUAGGUGUUUUCCUUACAAGCUUACAUUUAAAUUUGGGAUCCUGGUCAGAAUUUUGCUAAGGACUUCAUUCUUUCCCAGUGUUUCAGGAAGGAUACCCUGGGGCCAGAGCCACUUUUCUUUAUUGUAAGGUCCUGGGCUGUGGCCCCUUUUGCUUUUCUGGGCUCCUUUCUCAUGGGCAUCUGUUUUGGGAGCUUCAUUUCCUCAUCUGCUUUGACACUUUAAUCUUGGACAUUGUAGUGAAAUGCUUCACAUUGUCACACAUUCUAAUCUCAGAGACCACUCCAAAUCUUUUUGAAUUUUCUUGGCCAUUGGAAUUAGUACUCUGGAAUCAGUACAUUAAGAAUGGUUUUUUAAAAACUAUCAGCUAGAAUUUCCACAUUUUAGAAGAAAUGGUCAGUAUAAAUUUGGAGAAGCAGUUUCUAGCUAGUAGUAGCUGUGCAGAAAAACAGUUUUAUUGAUAAGUAUCUGAUUUGGAUUUAGGAUCCAGCUAGGAUGAAAAAUUCAAUUGAGGUCUGGCCAGAUAGACAUAAAUUUUAUUUUUCCUUUAUAUUCUGUGUCCAAAAGACAAAUUGUCAUGAGUUAUUAUUUUUUUCCUGAAGUAUCCGUUUGUUUCUCAGCUUUGGAAUUAGAGGUGUAGAAAAUAAACGGGACUCAACAGCCUAAGAUUUUGUUUAAAAAGAUGUUCUUAUUUAUUUAUAUUUAAAAAUUUCUAAACUUUUUUUUUGCAAGAAACUGUAUGUCAGCAUUUUCAUUUUUGAUAGAUAAAUUUUAUAUUUGGGAUUUUGAUUAUUAAGUUGUUUCUCCACCAGAAUUCCUUAUGGAUUUUUGUAAUAAUCUGUAUUUAGUGUGUUUAAUUAUUUGCUUUCCAUUUAUAUUUAUUUUGGGAUUUCUUUUUUAAGAGAAUGGCACCUGUGACAGCAUACUGUUAAUAUUACCCUUGUAUCGUACUUUACCAUGCCAUCUCUGAAGAAUAUUACAGACCAUUUUGGAGCAUGGUGAAUAACAAAUUUUUACCUUAGGAGUUCACUUGAAUAGUCAUUUUUAUAUUUGUGACUGCAAGUCACUUUUAGGGGCUGUACUUCCUUAGUACUGGUAGCAUUAUUAUCCAAUGGACUUUUAAAGCUUUCAUUAGGUUUUCUUUUGUUUUUGUUCUUUAAAGAACAUUUUACUUAACUUAGUAUUUCAUUUUUCAUCUAUAUUAUGAGGCAGUAAGAGUCUUCUGUUUUUCCAAAGUUGAGACUGCUUUAUAUUUAUUUCAUAUUGUCUACAGCUGUAGUGUUCAAUACAUUAGCCACUAGCCACAUGUGGUUAUUUAAAUACGAUAAAAUAAAAACUGGCCGGUCGUGGUGGCUCACGCCUGUAAUCCCAGCACUUUGGGAGGCCGAGGCGGGCAGAUCAUGAGGUCAGGAGAUCGAGACCAUCCUUACUAAGAUGGUGAAACCCCAUCUCUAUUAAAAAUACAAAAAAUUAGCCGGGCGUGGUGGCGGGCGCCUGCAGUCCCAGCUACUCAGGAGGCUGAGGCAGGAGAAUGGCGUGAACCUGGGAGGCAGAGUUUGCAGUGAGCCGAGAUGGUGCCACUGCACUCCAGCCUGGGGGACAGAGCGAGACUCCAUCUCAAAAAAAAAAAAAAAAAAUUAUUAAGUUCUUUAGUUGCACUAGCCAUAUUUCAAAUACUUGAUGGAUACAUGUGGCUAGUGGCUAACAUAAUGGAUAGCACAGAUAUAAAACAUUUCCUCCUCAUAUAAAGUUCUAUUGGAUAGUGCUGGUCUGUAGCUUAUAGGAUGGUAUCUUAGUCUCCUUCAGCUGCUAAAACAGAAUACCAUAAAUUAGGUAGCUUAAACAGUAGGUAUUUUGACCAGGCGUGGUGGCUUAUGCCUGUAUUCCUAACACUUUGGGAGGCCGAGGCAGGUGGAUAACUUGAGCUCAGGAGUUUGAGACUAGCCUGGGCAGCAUUUCAAAACCUUGUCUCUACAAAAAUUAGCUGGGCAUGGUGGUGCACGCCUGUAGUCUGAGCUACUUGGGAGGCUGAGGUGGGAGAAUUGCUUGAACCUGGGAGGCGGAGGUUGCAGUGAGCCAUGAUCGCACCCCUGUACUCCAGCCUGGAUGACAGAAUGAGACUCUGUCUCAAAAAAAAAAAAAAAAACAAAAAACAAAAAAAAACAAGAGAUAUUUCUCACAGUUCUGGAGGCUGGAAGUGCAAGAUCAAAGUGUUGGCAAAUUACGUUUCUUAAAGAGGGUCUGCUUCCUAGAUUGGAAAUGGCCAUCUUCUCUCAGUAUCCUCACAUGGUAGGGAGAAAAGCAGCUCUAGUGUCUCUUCUUAUAAAGGAAGUAAUGCCACCAUAGGGGCUCUAUUCUCAUGACCUCAUCUAAACCUAAUUCUCUCCUAAAGGCCACGCCUCCCAAUAUCCUCACCUUGGGGGUUAGG